GCUGUACUUGAAGCAAUUUUUU
rnacentral:miRNA from 1 species